rnacentral:rRNA from 1 species
CGCGAAGAACCUUACCAUCCUUUGACAUGGCGUGUUACGUGGAGAGAUUCACGGUCCCCUUCGGGGGCGCGCACACAGGUGCUGCAUGGCUGUCGUCAGCUCGUGUCGUGAGAUGAUGGGUUAAGUCCCGCAACGAGCGCAACCCACGUCCUCAGUUGCCAUCAUUAAGUUGGGCACUCUGGGGAGACUGCCGGUGAUAAGCCGCGAGGAAGGUGUGGAUGACGUCAAGUCCUCAUGGCCCUUACGGGAUGGGCUACACACGUGCUACAAUGGCGGUGACAGUGGGACGCGAACCCGCGAGGGCAAGCAAACCUCCAAAAGCCGUCUCAGUUCGGAUUGCACUCUGCAACUCGAGUGCAUGAAGGCGGAAUCGCUAGUAAUCGUGGAUCAGCAUGCCACGGUGAAUACGUUCCCGGGCCUUGUACACACCGAA